rnacentral:rRNA from 1 species
AGCGAACGCUGGCGGCAGGCUUAACACAUGCAAGUCGAGCGGGCACUUUCGGGUGUCAGCGGCGGACGGGUGAGUAACGCGUGGGAACGUGCCCUCUGGUUCGGAAUAACUCAGGGAAACUUGAGCUAAUACCGGAUACGCCCUUUUGGGGAAAGGCUUGCUGCCGGAGGAUCGGCCCGCGUCUGAUUAGCUAGUUGGUGAGGUAACGGCUCACCAAGGCGACGAUCAGUAGCUGGUCUGAGAGGAUGAUCAGCCACACUGGGACUGAGACACGGCCCAGACUCCUACGGGAGGCAGCAGUGGGGAAUAUUGGACAAUGGGCGCAAGCCUGAUCCAGUCAUGCCGCGUGAGUGAUGAAGGCCUUAGGGUUGUAAAGCUCUUUUAUCCGGGACGAUAAUGACGGUACCGGAGGAAUAAGCCCCGGCUAACUUCGUG